rnacentral:rRNA from 1 species
AACGCGAAGAACCUUACCCAGGCUUGACAUGCAGAGGACAACGGCAGAAAUGUCGUCUCCCUUCGGGGCCUCUGCACAGGUGCUGCAUGGCUGUCGUCAGCUCGUGCCGUGAGGUGUUGGGUUAAGUCCCGCAACGAGCGCAACCCUUAUCGUUAGUUGCCAACAUUUAGAUGGGAACUCUAACGAGACUGCCUGGGUUAACCAGGAGGAAGGUGAGGAUGACGUCAAGUCCGCAUGGCCCUUAUGUCUGGGGCAACACACGUGCUACAAUGGUCGGUACAGAAGGCAGCGAAGCCGCGAGGCGGAGCCAAUCCCGAAAGCCGAUCUCAGUUCAGAUUGUAGUCUGCAACUCGACUACAUGAAGACGGAAUUGCUAGUAAUGGCAGGUCAGCACACUGCCGUGAAUACGUUCCCGGGCCUUGUACACACCGACGCGUA